rnacentral:rRNA from 1 species
UGUAAGCGUAUACCAAAGUUGUUGCAGUUAAAACGCUCGUAGUCGGAAUUUGGCAGUUCCGGAUGUGUGCACGUCGUGUGCGCACUUCGCGGGGAUUGCUUUUGUGGUCUUGCGUAGGAUGAGGCACUUUUAUUAGUGAACGUCCUCACGCAACCACUUUUUACUGUGAGAAAAUCAGAGUGCUCAAAGCAGGCAUUUGCCGUGAAUGUAUUAGCAUGGAAUAAUAGAAUAGGACUUGGUUCUAUUUUGUUGGUUUGUUGGGACUGAGUAAUGAUUAAGAGGGACAGUUGGGGACAUUUGUAUUUCGGUGCUAGAGGUGAAAUUCUUAGAUUACCGAAAGACAAACUGCUGCGAAAGCGUCUGCCAAGGAUGUUUUCAUUGA